ACGACGCUGGCGGCAGGCCUAACACAUGCAAGUCGAACGAACUCUUCGGAGUUAGUGGCGGACGGGUGAGUACACGUGGGAACGUGCCUUUAGGUUCGGAAUAACUCAGGGAAACUUGUGCUAAUACCGAAUGUGCCCUUCGGGGGAAAGAUUUAUCGCCUUUAGAGCGGCCCGCGUCUGAUUAGCUAGUUGGUGAGGUAAAGGCUCACCAAGGCGACGAUCAGUAGCUGGUCUGAGAGGAUGAUCAGCCACAUUGGGACUGAGACACGGCCCAAACUCCUACGGGAGGCAGCAGUGGGGAAUCUUGCGCAAUGGGCGAAAGCCUGACGCAGCCAUGCCGCGUGAAUGAUGAAGGUCUUAGGAUUGUAAAAUUCUUUCAGUAGGGACGAUAAUGACGGUACCUACAGAAGAAGCCCCGGCUAACUUCGUGCCAGCAGCCGCGGUAAUACGAAGGGGGCUAGCGUUGCUCGGAAUUACUGGGCGUAAAGGGAGCGUAGGCGGACAUUUAAGUCAGGGGUGAAAUCCCGGGGCUCAACCUCGGAAUUGCCUUUGAUACUGGGUGUCUUGAGUGUGAGAGAGGUAUGUGGAACUCCGAGUGUAGAGGUGAAAUUCGUAGAUAUUCGGAAGAACACCAGUGGCGAAGGCGACAUACUGGCUCAUUACUGACGCUGAGGCUCGAAAGCGUGGGGAGCAAACAGGAUUAGAUACCCUGGUAGUCCACGCCGUAAACGAUGAUUGCUAGUUGUCGGGAUGCAUGCA
rnacentral:rRNA from 1 species